AUAGAAAGCCGCCCGGUUGCCAAAACACUAAACCCCAACAAGGGGAAACAGGAAGGGGCAGGCUUAUAGGAGAAAAACGUGCAAAAUUCUGUCUAAUGACAAAAUUCCACGAACAGACCGUUCGUAUGAAGAGCAGUAUAAAUACUGGUAAAACUCCCGAACGGUAAACAGACGGACUGUGCGAAUGAAUCCACAGUUCGUCUAAAAAUCAUACGAACGAAAAUAAACUGGUGAAUAAAGGAAACUGCCGAACGGCAGAUUAGACGUCAGUUGAAAAAGGUGCGAAAGUGCCGCGAUACAAGU